rnacentral:rRNA from 1 species
GAUGAACGCUGGCGGCGUGCCUAAUACAUGCAAGUCGAGCGAACGGACGAGAAGCUUGCUUCUCUGAUGUUAGCGGCGGACGGGUGAGUAACACGUGGAUAACCUACCUAUAAGACUGGGAUAACUUCGGGAAACCGGAGCUAAUACCGGAUAAUAUUUUGAACCGCAUGGUUCAAAGGUGAAAGACGGUCUUGCUGUCACUUAUAGAUGGAUCCGCGCUGCAUUAGCUAGUUGGUAAGGUAACGGCUUACCAAGGCAACGAUGCAUAGCCGACCUGAGAGGGUGAUCGGCCACACUGGAACUGAGACGCGGUCCAGACUCCUACGGGAGGCAGCAGUAGGGAAUCUUCCGCAAUGGGCGAAAGCCUGACGGAGCAACGCCGCGUGAGUGAUGAAGGUCUUCGGAUCGUAAAACUCUGUUAUUAGGGAAGAACAUAUGUGUAAGUAACUGUGCACAUCUUGACGGUACCUAAUCAGAAAGCCACGGCUAACUACGUG